GGGCCCGCACAAGCGGUGGAGCAUGUGGUUUAAUUCGAUGAUACGCGAGGAACCUUACCAGGGCUUAAAUGUAAGUUGCAUAAGUUAGAGAUAGCUUUUUCUUCGGACCACUUACAAGGUGCUGCAUGGUUGUCGUCAGCUCGUGUCGUGAGAUGUUGGGUUAAGUCCCGCAACGAGCGCAACCCUCACUUUUAGUUGCCAUCAUUUAGUUGGGCACUCUAGGGAAACUGCCCGUGAUAAGCGGGAGGAAGGUGUGGAUGACGUCAAGUCCUCAUGGCCCUUACGGGUUGGGCUACACACGUGCUACAAUGGUAGUGACAAUGGGUUAAUCCUCAAAAACUAUCUCAGUUCGGAUUGGGGUCUGCAACUCGACCCCAUGAAGUCGGAAUCGCUAGUAAUCG
rnacentral:rRNA from 1 species